rfam:Methyloprofundus sedimenti strain WF1 Contig001, whole genome shotgun sequence.
GAGGGUAGGCCCCUCGAUUUCGACAGUCAGUUGUUGAAAUCAAACCACCCGAUGCGGCUACUGUAAAGAGCAGUGGUCGUGAGCGAUUUGGGAAAAGGCCGCCUUGAGCGGUCAGGU